ensembl:rRNA 5S_rRNA 5S ribosomal RNA
GCCAGCAGCCAUAUCACCCUGCAACUCAACAACUGGCAGCCCACUGAAGCUCAGCAGGUGUGAGCCUGGUCAGUACCUGGAUGGGAGACCUCCUGGGAAAAACUAAGGUCACUGCUGGAA